GACGAACGCUGGCGGCGUGCCUAAUACAUGCAAGUUGAGCGCUGAAGGUUGGUACUUGUACCGACUGGAUGAGCAGCGAACGGGGGAGUAACGCGUGGGGAAUCUGCCUUUGAGCGGGGGACAACAUUUGGAAACGAAUGCUAAUACCGCAUAAAAACUUUAAACACAAGUUUUAAGUUUGAAAGAUGCAAUUGCAUCACUCAAAGAUGAUCCCGCGUUGUAUUAGCUAGUUGGUGAGGUAAAGGCUCACCAAGGCGAUGAUACAUAGCCGACCUGAGAGGGUGGUCGGCCACAUUGGGACUGAGACACGGCCCAAACUCCUACGGGAGGCAGCAGUAGGGAAUCUUCGGCAAUGGACGAAAGUCUGACCGAGCAACGCCGCGUGAGUGAAGAAGGUUUUCGGAUCGUAAAACUCUGUUGGUAGAGAAGAACGUUGGUGAGAGUGGAAAGCUCAUCAAGUGACGGUAACUACCCAGAAAGGGACGGCUAACUACGUG
rnacentral:rRNA from 1 species